UUACAAAUAACAUCUUGUUGUUGC
rnacentral:snRNA from 1 species